rnacentral:rRNA from 1 species
UACGAAGGGGGCUAGCGUUGCUCGGUAUGACAGGGCGUAAAGGGCGCGUAGGCGGCCUGGACAGUCGGAUGUGAAAUUCCUGGGCUCAACCUGGGGGCUGCAUCCGAGACGUUUGGGCUGGAGUGAGGAAGAGGGUCGUGGAAUUCCCAGUGUAGAGGUGAAAUUCGUAGAUAUUGGGAAGAACAUCGGUGGCGAAGGCGGCGACCUGGUCCAUGACUGACGCUGAGGCGCGAAAGCGUGGGGAGCAAACAGG